GGAGGGGUACUCAAGCGGUCGAAGAGGACGGAUUGCUAAUCCGUUGUAGGGGCAAAACCUCUACCGUGGGUUCGAAUCCCACCCCCUCCG
rnacentral:tRNA from 1 species